rnacentral:rRNA from 1 species
GAUGAACGCUGGCGGCGUGCCUAAUACAUGCAAGUCGAGCGAACAGACGAGAAGCUUGCUCCUCUGACGUUAGCGGCGGACGGGUGAGUAACACGUGGAUAACCUACCUAUAAGACUGGGAUAACUUCGGGAAACCGGAGCUAAUACCGGAUAAUAUAUUGAACCGCAUGGUUCAAUAGUGAAAGACGGUCUUGCUGUCACUUAUAGAUGGAUCCGCGCUGCAUUAGCUAGUUGGUAAGGUAACGGCUUACCAAGGCAACGAUGCGUAGCCGACCUGAGAGGGUGAUCGGCCACACUGGAACUGAGACACGGUCCAGACUCCUACGGGAGGCAGCAGUAGGGAAUCUUCCGCAAUGGGCGAAAGCCUGACGGAGCAACGCCGCGUGAGUGAUGAAGGUCUUCGGAUCGUAAAACUCUGUUAUUAGGGAAGAACAAAUGUGUAAGUAACUAUGCACGUCUUGACGGUACCUAAUCAGAAAGCCACGGCUAACUACGUG